UACGUAGGGCGCAAGCGUUAUCCGGAAUUAUUGGGCGUAAAGAGCUCGUAGGCGGUUUGUCGCGUCUGCCGUGAAAACUCAGGGCUUAACCCUGAGCUUGCAGUGGGUACGGGCAGACUAGAGUGCGGUAGGGGAGACUGGAAUUCCUGGUGUAGCGGUGAAAUGCGCAGAUAUCAGGAGGAACACCGGUGGCGAAGGCGGGUCUCUGGGCCGUAACUGACGCUGAGGAGCGAAAGCAUGGGGAGCGAACAGG
rnacentral:rRNA from 1 species